UUAUAACUCUCCAAGUUUCAGCAGAAAAAAAAUUGCGAGCGGCCAAGGAUAAGUGAAAGCUUGUAAUAGCUUUUCCGCCCUGUAAGCCACCGCUGUGUCCAGGUGGUACAUAUUGGCAUCUACGUAGCCAUGUCCACGAGCGAUUAGUCAGUGCGUACGUUCACACAUGGACAUGAUUCUAUUCUGUGCUAUGUCCACAACAUGCAAUUCUAUUCGAAUGCGAUUUUCGCGUUUGAAAGUGUGUCUUGGGUGCCAGCACAGCAUAAUCAAAAACGUGUCAGACACACCACAUGAUUCGAAGCGUCGUGACGAGCUCUAGAAGUAACGAUAAUUUUUAUUUCGAUAGUUCGCUUGCAUCAUUCAAGAUUAGUUUGAAAUAAAAAAAUUUGUUUUUAUCAUGGCGAUAGUCAGAUACACAUUUGUAUAUAAGCCACUCAAGACACAGCAGGUGUCAGAUCAUUUUUUGCGACAGAAGACACAAAAAAAGAAAUCACUAUGAAACUCAUAACUUUAUUCCUCGUAGUUGCAAUCGCAAUCGCGAUUAUUAUUCCGUCUAUUAACGCCAGUGCGGAAGCAAAUGCGGACGCUUUUGCUGAAAGUUUUGCCAAUGCUUUUGCUGAAAGUUGGGCUGAUGCUGAUCCAGGCAAAGUAACGAGUGCUAUGAAAGAGGGGGCCAUACUAGCAGGCAAGGCAGCAGGCAAAGCACUUUGGGAGUGGGCUAAAAACAAGUGGGGAAAAUAAUAACAUAGCUUCUGCUUUCUGACUCAUCGGAACGGACCUACUUGAUUCGAAUAUAUUGAGACAUGUAUAAUUAUGAAAUAUGGAAGCACGAGCG